rnacentral:rRNA from 1 species
GACACAGGGUGCAAACGUUGUUCGGAAUUACUGGGCGUAAAGCGCGUGUAGGCGGCUCUGCAAGUCGGAUGUGAAAGCCCUGGGCUCAACCUAGGAAGUGCACUCGAAACUGCAGAGCUUGAGUCUCGGAGAGGAUCGCGGAAUUCUCGGUGUAGAGGUGAAAUUCGUAGAUAUCGAGAGGAACACCGGUGGCGAAGGCGGCGAUCUGGACGAUGACUGACGCUGAGACGCGAAAGCGUGGGGAGCAAACAGG